GGGGAUAUAGCUCAGUGGUAGAGUUUGCACACAUAAAGCCUGGGUUCAAUCCCCAGUACCUCCA
rnacentral:tRNA from 1 species